rnacentral:rRNA from 1 species
UACGAAGGGGGCUAGCGUUGCUCGGAAUCACUGGGCGUAAAGCGCACGUAGGCGGCUUCUUAAGUCAGGGGUGAAAUCCUGGAGCUCAACUCCAGAACUGCCCUUGAUACUGAGGAGCUCGAGUCCGGAAGAGGUGAGUGGAACUGCGAGUGUAGAGGUGAAAUGCGCAGAUAUCGGGAAGAACACCCGUGGCGAAGGCGGCUCUCUGGGACGGUACUGACGCUGAGACGCGAAAGCGUGGGGAGCGAACAGG